rnacentral:lncRNA from 1 species
CCUGGGAGCUGUGCCCUGCUCCGGGGACAGUGCAGCAGUACAGGGGAAGGAGCUGCUGCAGUUUCACCCUUUAAUGCCAGGUGUUUCACGUGGAGGUUACGGAGCUAUGGAAUUGUUGGCUGGAAGCGACCUCUGGAGGUCUCCAGCCCAAAGGCCCCAUCGGAGCGGCACCCAUGGACACCAGGUUACAUCAGCCACAGCCACGUCUGAAAAGCUCCAGGGCUGAAAGCUCCCGUGCCCCCCCCCCCCCCCCGAGAUGACCAGUGGCCGUGCUGGUCACUACCUUGGCAAGAAGAUUCCCCUGGGUUCAGGCUGCCCCUCCCACUGACCCUUUAGCCAUCACCCCCAGCUGUGCUGGCUCUGGCGCGUUAGUAACUGCGCUUGAGUAGCUGCAAACUGCCCUUGGAUUUGCCUCAGCCGCCUUCUCGCCAAAGCAAACAGGUUACUCCUUGUGCGCCGGCUGCUGGACCCUCUUCUCUAUGGCUCUUUUGAACGGGGAUGCUGUGGUGCUCUUGUUGCUUGUGUGGCAGCAGCUCAAGGGACUGGGCCCAGCCCUGCUGGAGGAGAACAGGACCAGUGACAGCCUGACAUUGCCCCAGAGGCUUCUCAACUCCUGGGUAACUUCAUCCUCAGCUGCUGAAGGUGGCUGCUGGGUCACUUUUGUCAGUGGGACUGGAAGGGAGCCAUCACCUGCCUCCUGGAUGGCCUGCCAGCCCUGGUGUGUGGUGAGUUCCAGCUCAAACAGGAUGAUUUUUGUGUUGUUUUACUGUGCCGCAGGGUGCUGGGAUGUUUUGGUGCUGCCCGAGUUGUUAAAUACACGUGAGCUGUCAGUGGUGCCUCUCUCAGCUGAGUGGGACCACGGAUGGAGUGGGGAAGCAGGAUGGGCUGGGCAGCUGGGCAGUGUCUGCCAGACACAAAGGACAUCUGUGCUGUGCAAUGGGA